AGCAUGGUUGCUGGGUCAAAUGGUGCUUCCAUUCCAAGUUUUCUGAGGAAUCUGCAUACUGCUUUCCAUAGUGGUUUUACCAAUUUGCAGUCCCACCAGCAAU
rnacentral:pre_miRNA from 1 species